GAUGAAGAACGUAGUGAAAUGCGAUAAGUAGUGUGAAUUGCAGAAUUCAGUGAAUCAUCGAAUCUUUGAACGCACAUUGCGCCCUUUGGUAUUCCAAAGGGCAUGCCUGUUCGAGCGUCAUUUGUACCCUCAAGCUUUGCUUGGUGUUGGGCGUCUUGUCUCUAGCUUUGCUGGAGACUCGCCUUAAAGUAAUUGGCGGCCGGCCUACUGGUUUCGGAGCGCAGCACAAGUCGCACUCUCUAUCAGCAAAGGUCUAGCAUCCAUUAAGCCUUUUUUUCAACUUUUGACCUCGGAUCAGAUAGGGAUACCCGCUGAACUUAAGCAUAUCAAUAAGCGGAGGA
rnacentral:misc_RNA from 1 species